AGGACGAACGCUGGCGGCGUGCUUAACACAUGCAAGUCGAGCGAGGCCUUCCCUUCGGGGGAGUGCCCUAGCGGCGAACGGGUGAGUAACACGUGGGCAACCUGCCCCUAGCACUGGGAUAACUCCGGGAAACCGGGGCUAAUACCGGAUAUGACCUUUGAGGGCAUCCUCUUUGGUGUAAAGGAUUCUGGCUAGGGAUGGGCCCGCGGCCUAUCAGCUUGUUGGUGGGGUAAUGGCCUACCAAGGCGACGACGGGUAGCCGGCCUGAGAGGGCGACCGGCCACACUGGGACUGAGACACGGCCCAGACUCCUACGGGAGGCAGCAGUGGGGAAUAUUGCACAAUGGGCGAAAGCCUGAUGCAGCGACGCCGCGUGAGGGAUGGACGGCCUUCGGGUUGUAAACCUCUUUCAGUACCGACGAAGCGAAAGUGACGGUAGGUACAGAAGAAGCACCGGCCAACUACGUGCCAGCAGCCGC
rnacentral:rRNA from 1 species